GACAGAGGGUGCAAACGUUGUUCGGAAUUACUGGGCGUAAAGCGCGUGUAGGCGGAAUGGCAAGUCGGUCGUGAAAUCCUUCGGCUCAACCGAAGAACGUCGAUCGAAACUGCCGUUCUUGAGGAUUGCAGAGGAGACUGGAAUUCCCGGUGUAGCGGUGAAAUGUGUAGAGAUCGGGAGGAACACCGGUGGCGAAGGCGGGUCUCUGGACAGUUACUGACGCUGAGGCACGAAGGCCAGGGGAGCAAACGGG
rnacentral:rRNA from 1 species